AGUGGUAUAACUGGGUCCAAUGGUAGUUCCAUUCCAUGUUUUCUGAGGAAUGUCCAAACUGCUUUCCAAAGUGGCUGCACCAAUUUGCAGUCCCACAAGCAAU
rnacentral:pre_miRNA from 1 species